UAAAGGUGUGUCUGAAGAUAUGUCUAAAGGUGUGUCUACAUAUCUUCAGACACACCUUUAGACAUAUCUUUAGACACACCUUUA
rnacentral:pre_miRNA from 1 species